AUUCCAGCUCCAAUAGCGUAUAUUAAAGUUGUUGCGGUUAAAAAGCUCGUAGUUGGAUUUCAGUUCCGGACUGACGGUUCACCGCCCGGUGCCUACUGUCACGCUCCGAACAGCCGCACCGCCGGCUUGCACGGGGUGCUCUUCAUCGAGUGUCCCGAGUGGCCGGCACGUUUACUUUGAAAAAAUUAGAGUGCUCAGAGCAGGCUCCUUAAAUGGCCUGAAUGUCUAUGCAUGGAAUAAUGGAAUAGGACCUCGGUUCUAUUUUGUUGGUUUUCGGAACCCGAGGUAAUGACUAAUAGGAACAGGCGGGGGCAUUCGUAUUGCGACGCUAGAGGUGAAAUUCUUGGACCGUCGCAAGACGAACUACUGCGAAAGCAUUUGCCAAGGAUGUUUUCAUUAAUCAAGAACGAAAGUUAGAGGUUCGA
rnacentral:rRNA from 1 species